rnacentral:lncRNA from 1 species
CUCCCUUGUUUCAUCAUACAAUUUUCUCACACCAAAAGUGGUUUCCACCCCUCCUAUCUAACUUCCAAAGAUGGGAGGAAAUUUGGUUUGAAUGGCAAGUUCAAAUGUGAUUUGAAAUUGGUUUCCUUUUAGGGAUAAGGUUUGACCUCAUCCAAACUCUUUGGAUGCUGCCAAUGUUUCUCUCAUGUAAAUCAGAUUUGCAAUGUGUUUUCCUACAAAAGAAAGAGAUGUCACCCCUUCUCAAUGCCUGAGUGAAUAAGGAUAUGAUCUGGUUGAG